AAUUAUUUUUAAAGGGAGGAUUUCUGCGAUCUGAUGCAGCGUUUUACCAUGCGGAUGUUGAUUGGUGUCUUGUCCCUACUGAUGUCUGGAUAUUUUGUCGAAAGCUGUAUCUGCCUCCGAACAUGUGACCUGGAAGACUGCAAAUCCAAUUGUCAAGCAAACAGUUAUUUGUCUGGCAUAUGUUUGUUGUCAGAUAUUUGUCCAGGAAGUAUGCGGUACUUCUGUAAGUGCAUGGUCAAAAGGACAAUAAGUAAUCGCUGAUACGAUGCGAUAAAGAAGAUUGAAAUACACACAUGUAUUACUUUCAAAAUAAAUGACAGUAAAAUACAGUGAAAUGACUCAAUAAA